rnacentral:rRNA from 1 species
AUCGAACGCUGGCGGCAGGCCUAACACAUGCAAGUCGAGCGAGCGGCGGACGGGUGAGGAAUGUCUGGGAAACUGCCUGAUGGAGGGGGAUAACUACUGGAAACGGUAGCUAAUACCGCAUACCAUCAGAUGUGCCCAGAUGGGAUUAGCUCGUAGGUGGGGUAACGGCUCACCUAGGCGACGAUCCCUAGCUGGUCUGAGAGGAUGACCAACCACACUGGAACUGAGACACGGUCCAGACUCCUACGGGAGGCAGCGGUGGGGAAUAUUGCACAAGGGGCGCAAGCCUGAUGCGGCCAUGCCACGUGUGUGAAGAAGGCCUUCGGGUUGAAAGGCACUUUCAGCGGGGAGGCGUUACCCGCAGAAGAAGCACCGGCUAACUCCGUGCCAGCAGCCGCGGUAAUUC